CUUACUUGUUAGUAUAGUUAAUUUAAAAGUAGCAACAAACUGCAAUACUUAUAUUUGGUGACUUUUUGAUAUGUUUUAAACAAUUUAAAUAGUUCACAAGCAGCAAGUUUUGAAUUUCUUAAACUGGAAAUGACAAGACAUCAAGAAGAAAACAGAAACUGCUAUAGGAAAACAAGAAAAAAACAGACUAUAAACAACAGUCUACGAAACAAAGCACAACCAACUACUUACGAAAGACAGGUAAAAUGACACACUUCCAUCAAAUAUGGCAGAAUUAAGGUGCAUCGGUAAUGGAAACAUCAUUUGUGAUAGUUGAGUGGCACAUUGCAAGUUGUAAAACAAAUUUUCAUUGGAUUUCUUAAAUGAGGAAAGGGAGAACACACUCAUUUUCAGAAAAGAUGAAUUUACUGUUACCAUUUGGAACCCUUGGAUCGAUGUCGUCACAUGAGCAGUAAACUAAAUUUAUGAAAACAUGAUAUGAAGCAACAUCCCAUCCCAUUAUUAUCAAUUGAGAAUGUGUUCACAAUGAGAAAAUUCUUAAUGUCAAGAUGCUUAAUUCUUUAUAGACCUUCAGUGGGUAAUUUCUUUAUGUAAGUAAAAAAUGACACAGACUUCAAUGUUCCUGUGGUAUCCUAUAUUUCAAGCCCCUGUUUGAAGUAUGCCUUGUCGAAAUAAAAGUGUAGAACGGAAGAAAAACCCAGUGGGUUCCAUAGAAAUGUACAAUGUUCAAAAACAAGUGUAACAAAUGUAACAACUAUAUUGUCAUUCCGAAAAUAAGAAUCACAAAGAUGCUCAUGUUUUCAGUUUUGUAUUUUAUGAACGUCUUGUGUCUAACCGUAACAGUUUUGUGCCUCCCUACAUUCGGGGUUAGGUU